rnacentral:rRNA from 1 species
UCAUAGAAUUUCUUUAAAUUCAUGAUGUCGUAAGGGAAAAUAAUGAUAUUACCUUACUAUGAGUGUCGUCCAAAUCUGGUGCCAGAAGACUCGGUAAGACCAGAGACGCAAACGUUAAUCAUCUUAAACAGGCGUAAAGGGUUUGUAGGCAGCUUUCAUAAGAUUAUCUCUUACAAAAAUAAAGAAGUGGUCUGAUUGAAAGCUAGAAUCAAAAAGAGGUUAUAGUGUAUAACGCCUAGAGGAGGGCUGAUAUCCUUAGAUCCUAGGCAGAAUACUUAGGGCGAAGGCCACUCUCCACUAAUGAUUGACGCUGAGAAACGAAGGUAAGGGUAGGAAAUAGGAUUAGAUACCCCGGUACUCCUUUCUGUAAACGAUGAAUGGUAGUCAUUAGUAAAAUUAAAAAUUACUAGAGACGAAGUUAACACAAUAACCAUUCCGCCUUGUGAGUACUACUGCAAAGUAGAAAACAAAAAAAUUAGUCGGUCUCGAAGCAAACGGAGUGAAGCAUGUUAUUUA